rnacentral:rRNA from 1 species
CCUACGGGUGGCAGCAGUGGGGAAUAUUGGACAAUGGGGGGAACCCUGAUCCAGCCAUGCCGCGUGCGUGAAGAAGGCCCUCGGGUUGUAAAGCACUUUCAGUGAGGAAGAACGCCUGGUGGUUAAUACCCAUCAGGAAAGACAUCACUCACAGAAGAAGCACCGGCUAACUCCGUGCCAGCAGCCGCGGUAAUACGGAGGGUGCGAGCGUUAAUCGGAAUUACUGGGCGUAAAGCGCGCGUAGGUGGCUUGAUAAGCCGGUUGUGAAAGCCCCGGGCUCAACCUGGGAACGGCAUCCGGAACUGUCAAGCUGGAGUGCAGGAGAGGAAGGUAGAAUUCCCGGUGUAGCGGUGAAAUGCGUAGAGAUCGGGAGGAAUACCAGUGGCGAAGGCGGCCUUCUGGACUGACACUGACACUGAGGUGCGAAAGCGUGGGUAGCAAACAGGAUUAGAUACCCGUGUAGUC